CUGGAAGCACAGGGGGCGCUAUGCGGAAGGACUCCUCCCCUCCCCGGCUCUGAGCUAGGGUGUUGUUACCAGAGCCGGGGAGGAGGGGCGACGAGGACACCUCUGCGAGGGCACCGGCUGAGGGGCCAACGGUCAGCAGGAGCCGGACACGCACACGCCCUCGCCGCUUCCCUCAGGGACUGGAAGCAGGCGCGGCUGGGGCAGGGAGUGGAGGGACGGCGCGCGUCCGGAGGCCAUUGCGCAUGCGCGCGGCGGCCCGUGCGCCUUUGCGAGAGGCUGGACUUGGGACCGCCGGAACCCCGGCGACGCCGGGCGCGCUUCUCCUAGGGCUGAGCGGGAGGGCGCGCGCCCCUUGCGCUUUGACAGGGGUCCCAGCUGGAGCCUAUGCUGUAUGUCCUUAGGAUUCAAGCAUUGCUGGAGGACUGGUGGAGCAGGACUGCAGGACUCUAUUUAUAUGUAGCUCCUGGAGUAUCUUAGGAAAGAAGCCAUCCUAAGAGAGAGCUGAGUCCCCAAGCCUGGUUCAAGGAUGUGAGCCACUGUCAGAAAGGAGAAGAAAUGGUGAAAGCAUCAUGGUCUCUGUCAUUUAGAUCAGCCUCCAGCUCAGCCUUCAUGGAUUCAUGCCUCUGUCAUAAGGAAUAAUCCACUACUGAGGACCCAAUGCCCCACAAAGUGAACCUUGGCCUCCCACAGAAGAACACUUUAAGGAGCUACCAACUCACCUUUGCUCUAGUGCAGUACCCAUAUUAUGGGUGGUAAGAGAGAAAAAAGAAAAAAGAAAAAAAUCUACUGAGGAGAAAAACAUACAACAUAGAUCAGACUCCGUCACUCUUCUGCUUAAAAUCCUUCAGGGACUUCCUAAGUCUUCAGCAUGGCAAACAAGGCUCUUCACGUCCUGGCCCUGCUGCUGCUCCGCCACAGCCACCUCUUCCUAUAAACCUUAUUCUCCAGCCAUACAAAACCAUGUGCAGUGCUCUGAAAGGACCUAUUCUUUCCUGCCUUUGUGCCUUUGUAUGGCUUUGCUUUUCUUGGAAUGCCCUUCCCCUAGUUAGUUUCCACUCAACCUUCAAAACUCAGCUAAACAUCUCCUCCUUUGAGAAGCUUUCCCUGAUUUCAUAGUCUUGGGUACCUCUUCCCUUAUACCCCAAGAACCUUCUGGACAUUUCUUUAUUAUAUCAGUGUAGGUGAUUGUGAAUCUUUGGAGGACCGGGCCUGGGCCUUUCCUCUCUUUAGCUUCAAAAGUUGGCCCAGGACAGAAGCCACAAUGAAUGUAGAAUGAAUAAGAACAGACUUAAAAUCACUGAAAAUAACAACCUUUUCUAAUGUAAACAGGUAGUUACCCUGGGCAUGGAAUUGAAAAUGAUUCAGAGAUGUUUAACUGGCCUACUAUGGUAUUUAUCAUAGAGGAAGAGGAUAUCUUUCCUUUUUCUUCUUACUUUUUAUGAAUUAUUUAGGAAUUGAAGUAUGAUAAAAAUUCUGAGUGAUAGGUUAAUAAAAAUGUCAAUCUAAUUAGCAAAAUGGUCCCACAUGGGGGAUAGAGGGUUGCAGAAUACUGAUGGUUUUAGGAAAAUGCCUAAAAACUCAAUUACUCUUGUAAAAAAAAAAAAUCCAAAAACAAAAACAAAAAAACCA